CCAAUAGCGUAUAUUAAAGUUGUUGCAGUUAAAAAGCUCGUAGUUGAACUUCGGGAUCAAGGGAUCGGUCAUGCUCUUGUAUGUACUGGUCUUAUUGGUUCUCACCUUCUAAAGAACCAUAAUGUCAUUCAUUUGAUGUUAUGGGGAAUUAGGACUGUUACCUUGAAAAAAUUAGAGUGUUUAAAGCAGGCUUACGCUUGAAUACAUUAGCAUGGAAUAAUGAAAUAGGACAUCCGAUUCUAUUUUGUUGGUUUCUAGGAUCGAUGUAAUGAUUAAUAGGGAUAGUUGGGGGCAUUAGUAUUCAAUUGUCAGAGGUGAAAUUCUUGGAUUUAUUGAAGACUAACUACUGCGAAAGCAUUUGCCAAGGAUGUUUUCAUUAAUCAAGAACGAAAGUUAGGGGAUCGAAGACGAUCAGAUACCGUCGUAGUCUUAACCAUAAACUAUGCCGACUAGGGAUCGGAUGAUGUUAAUUUUUUAAUGACUCAUUCGGCGCCUUACG
rnacentral:rRNA from 1 species